rnacentral:rRNA from 1 species
CCCUUAGAUGUUCUGGGCCGCACGCGCGCUACACUGACGAUGGCAACGAGUUUUCCCUUCGCCGAAAGGUGUGGGUAAUCUUUUGAAACAUCGUCGUGCUGGGGAUAGAUCAUUGCAAUUUUUGAUCUUGAACGAGGAAUUCCUAGUAAGCGCGAGUCAUCAGCUCGCGUUGAUUACGUCCCUGCCCUUUGUACACACCGCCCGUCGCUACUACCGAUUGAAUGGUUUAGUGAGGACUCCUGAUUGGCGCCGCCGCCCCGGCAACGGAGCAGCGGACUGCCGAAAAGUUGUUCAAACUUGAUCAUUUAGAGGAAGUAAAAGUCGUAACA